rnacentral:tRNA from 1 species
UGCGGGUGUGGCGGAACUGGCAGACGCGCUAGAUUUAGGUUCUAGUGUCUUACGACGUGGGGGUUCGAGUCCCUUCCCGCACA